ACGGCGUCGAGCGGCGGACGGGUGAGUAAUGCCUGGGAAAUUGCCCUGAUGUGGGGGAUAACCAUUGGAAACGAUGGCUAAUACCGCAUAAUAGCUUCGGCUCAAAGAGGGGGACCUUCGGGCCUCUCGCGUCAGGAUAUGCCCAGGUGGGAUUAGCUAGUUGGUGAGGUAAGGGCUCACCAAGGCGACGAUCCCUAGCUGGUCUGAGAGGAUGAUCAGCCACACUGGAACUGAGACACGGUCCAGACUCCUACGGGAGGCAGCAGUGGGGAAUAUUGCACAAUGGGCGCAAGCCUGAUGCAGCCAUGCCGCGUGUAUGAAGAAGGCCUUCGGGUUGUAAAGUACUUUCANCAGUGAGGAAGGUGGUGUACUUAAUACGUGCAUCAUUUGACAGUUAGCUGCAGAAGAAGCACCGGCUAACUCCGUGCCANCAGCCGCGGUAAUACGGAGGGUGCGAGCCGUUAAUCGGAAUUUACUUGGGCCGUAAAGCCGCAUGCAAGGUGGUUUUGUUAAAGUCAAGAUGUNAAAAGCCCCGGGGCUCAAACCUCNGAAAUUGCCA
rnacentral:rRNA from 1 species